GACGAACGCUGGCGGCGUGCUUAACACAUGCAAGUCGAACGGAAAGGCCCUGCUUUUGUGGGGUGCUCGCGUGGCGAACGGGUGAGUAACACGUGAGUAACCUGCCCUUGACUUUGGGAUAACUUCAGGAAACUGGGGCUAAUACCGGAUAGGAGCUCCUGCUGCAUGGUGGGGGUUGGAAAGUUUCGGCGGUUGGGGAUGGACUCGCGGCUUAUCAGCUUGUUGGUGGGGUAGUGGCUUACCAAGGCUUUGACGGGUAGCCGGCCUGAGAGGGUGACCGGCCACAUUGGGACUGAGAUACGGCCCAGACUCUUACGGGAGGCAGCAGUGGGGAAUAUUGCACAAUGGGCGGAAGCCUGAUGCAGCAACGCCGCGUGCGGGAUGACGGCCUUCGGGUUGUAAACCGCUUUCGCCUGUGACGAAGCGUGAGUGACGGUAAUGGGUAAAGAAGCACCGGCUAACUACGUG
rnacentral:rRNA from 1 species